rnacentral:rRNA from 1 species
AGUGAACGCUGGCGGCAUGCCUAAUACAUGCAAGUCGAACGCCUGUACUGAUCUGAUCCCUUCGGGGUGAAGUGAAGAUUUUGCAGGAGUGGCGGACGGGUGAGUAUAAAGUUGGAAUCUGCCUCGUACUCGGGGAUAACAUUCUGAAAAGAGUGCUAAUACCGGAUAGUCCCGAAAGGGUAAAGAUUUAUCGGUACGAGAGGAGCCUACUUCCUAUCAGCUUGUUGGUGAGGUAACUGCUCACCAAGGCGACGACGGGUAGCUGGUCUGAGAGGAUGAUCAGCCACACUGGGACUGAGACACGGCCCAGACUCCUACGGGAGGCAGCAGUAAGGAAUUUUCCGCAAUGGGCGAAAGCCUGACGGAGCAAUGCCGCGUGUAUGAUGACGCCUUUUGGGGUGUAAAAUACUUUUGUGAGGGAAGAUAAUGACGGUACCUCACGAAUAANGGACGGCUAAUCACGUGCCAGCAGCCGCGGUAAUACGUGAGUCCCAAAGCGUUGUUCGGAAUUACUGGGCGUAAAGGGCGCGUAAGCGGUUUCNGGAAGUUUAUGGGUGAAAGCCCCCGGGCUUAACUGGGGGAAUGGCCUGUAAAACCACGGGACUGGAAGUGNNGNNANNGGNNGGAGUCUGNANAGGAGUGAUCCAGUGUAGCGGUGAAAUGCGUAGAUAUUGGGAGGAACACCAGUGGCGAAGGCGGCUUCCUGGACAGACACUGACGCUGAGGCGCGAAAGCCAGGGGAGCAAACGGGAUUAGAUACCCCGGUAGUCCUGGCUGUAAACGAUGAAUACUUGGUGUGGGGGGUAUAGAAGUCCCUCUGUGCCGAAGAGAACUCGAUAAGUAUUCCGCCUGGGGAGUACGGCCGCAAGGCUGAAACUCAAAGGAAUUGACGGGGGCCCGCACAAGCGGUGGAGCAUGUGGUUUAAUUCGACGCAACGCGAAGAACCUUACCGGGGUUUGAACUGUAUUGGCGACCUGCUGAGAAGCAGGGUUUCCUUAGGGAACUGAUACAGAGGUGCUGCAUGGCUGUCGUCAGCUCGUGUCGUGAGAUGUUGGGUUAAGUCCCGCAACGAGCGCAACCCUUGUCUGUAGUUGCCAUCAGGUGAAGCUGGGCACUCUACGGAGACUGUCGGCGAAAAGCCGGAGGAAGGUGGGGAUGACGUCAAGUCCUCAUGGCCUUUAUGUCCCGGGCUACACACGUGCUACAAUGGAUGGAACAGAGGGCAGCGAACUCGUGAGAGCAAGCGAAUCCCAGAAAUCCAUUCUCAGUUCGGAUUGCAGUCUGCAACUCGACUGCAUGAAGUUGGAAUCGCUAGUAAUCGCGGAUCAGAACGCCGCGGUGAAUACGUUCCCGGGCCUUGUACACACCGCCCGUCACAUCACGAAAGUGGGCUGUACUAGAAGCCGCCGGCCUAACCCGCAAGGGAGGGAGGCGUCGACGGUAUGGCUCAUGAUUGGGGUG